UGAUAUUGAUUUGAAGCAAGGGUUUUUCUACCUGUUUUUUUUUUUCAGUAAAUGGAAAAGGAGCUCCCGGAUCCAUAGAUCAACAUCAAGAACUCUUAGACCACUUACCUCUUAUCUAAAAGCUCAUCUCUUUUCAGCGAGGUAGAGAAGGUAAUAGAGCAGUCAAGUUGGUGGUGGAUCUGAUGUCAUUGUCGAUGUUGUUCCUAAGGAGGGAUUGGUGGAAUUUACAGUGGUACUGUAAGAACAAGAGUAACUCCCGAUAAAAUCAGUGUGGAGGUACCAAGUGUCAUAUGCCAUGUAUUCUUUUGGAAUUCUAUAUCAGUUCAUUAUCGAGAAGUUAGUCAUUACGAGGAUGCAAAACCUUGGAACGAAAGGUGUGAUAUUGCAUUCUCCUGCACAACACGGAAUGAAAUCGAGAAAUCUGAUGCUGUUAGUUUAGUCAGAGGCUCAACUAUGGCUUGUACUUCUCAAGCAGUUGAUGUACUGAGAAAAGAUAAUUGCUCCAACAAAGGCUGCUUGAACCGGAGAGGUAUAUUAUUGAUGAGAGGUGGGGAUUGACAAACAUAAAUAUUGGAUCAGCACCGCUCUGACCCAGGAUUUAAACUUGGGUAUGUGGAACAUACAUCAGCAACAAUAGUGAAGAAGUAUGGUGCCGUAAGGUUAACUUUUGAAGUUGAAGGACUAACUGUGCUGAGAACAACCCAGCAAAACAAAAGACAUUUGAUGGUCCAUCACGCAAAGACUGGAGAGGUGGAAGGGCUGCUUCAUUCAGUAUCAUUCCUAGCAGCACUGAUAGUUCAGUUGAGGGAAAAGUUGGUGUGUAUCAUUUGGAUGAUGUUCUGCGAGAGGAAACUUCAUCGUCAAAUGCCACUUAGAGGGGCAGGAGAUACACUCAGUCAAUUCGUUAAUUUUUUUUCUGGUAACAUCCAAUUUUGUGAAUUGCCACUGAAUGAUUGUGUCAAGAUAGUUGGAUAGCAGUUGAUGGCGACAUUAGAUAAACAUCUAAAUAUCCUCGAUCAUCAGUAUGUUGGGAUGCUUGUGAAAGGUAAGAAGUAUAUCUCCAUCUCUUAUAGCCUACGGAAAAUGGGUCAUUUGUCCACAUAUUUUUAAAUCACGGUUCAA